UUUGGAAGCCACUGUUGUACAUCUUCAUCUGUUGAGCUGCAAACUGGCAAUGUCUUUCCCCUGGAGGUUACACUCUAAAGGAGAUGAAAGAAACUUGUAGCAAUAAGGACAUGACUGUAAGCCUGGAGAUGCCAGAGGCUACCACAUGAAUCUUAAGAAUGAAGCUGACACAGCAGAAGGCUGAGCCAAGAAACUUAAGAGAAACUGAAUUUUGAUUACAUUUUUGGAGCCCCUGGAUCAAGCUACUCAUGACACUAAACAACCCCAAGGCUACAUGAAUAAAUAAAUUUUUCUUUCCUAUUUAA